GCAUCCGCUUCUCUCAGCCCCUGGUGUGGCGGGCUCGUCACCCGUUGCCCGUUUCUCUCAGCAAAUUAACAGUUUCCUAGUAUUUUGUGAUUGUAAGAAGAACACUGCUUUUUAAAAAAAUGCCUACUCCCUGCAACUGUCCAGUAUUUUUUGGCAUCCCUUAAAUUUUACAUUAAGGGCAGAUGUCUCACUCGCCAGGCUUCCUCACCCUAGACCUGGUCCUACCAUGAAGAGUCAACUUACUUCACAGAUUAACAUGGUGUCUGACUCAAACUGUACGCGGGCCUCUCAUUGUUGUGGCCUCUCCCGUUGCGGAGCACAGGCUCCGGAUGCGCAGACUCAGCGGCCAUGCCUCACGGGCCCAGCCGCUCUGCGGCAUGUGGGAUCUUUCUGGACCAGGGCACGAACCCAUGUCCCCUGCAUCGGCAGGCAGACUCUC